UGUUUGUAAUAUUUUGUAGGGAUUAACAUAUGUGAUUCAAGAGUUGUUUCCUGACACUGAGCAUCGUGACUGUGCAAGACAUGUGUACGCCAAUUGGAGUAAGUUGCAUAGAGGCAAAGUGUUGAAAUACCACUUUUGGAUGUGUGCAAAGGAUACCACUGAACCUCAAUUCCAAGAACAAAUGAAAUGUUUAGGAAAUAUGGACCCUACAACAAAAGUUGACUUAGAAAGGUACCCUCCAAGAUUUUGGUGCAAGGCUUUCUUUAGAACGAAUGUCAAGUGUGAUAUUGUGGAUAACAAUCUCAGUGAGGCUUUUAAUGACACCUUUUUGAAAGCAAGAGUGAAGCCCAUUAUCCCUAUGUUGGAAGACAUAAACGUAGGGGUGAUGCGGAUGAUUGCAAAAAAAAUUAAAUUGGUAAAAAGCUGGACUGGAAAUUAUGGACCAUUGGUUAUGAAGAAGCUGAAUACAAAUAUUCAUGAAAGUAUGGGAUGGAAUGUAGAAGCUGCUCAUGCAGGGCAUGAGAUCUUUCAGGUAUACCAUGCCCACAUGCAAUAUGUGCGAUCUUCGACAUUGGAAGGGGACCUCAAGACUACAUUGACUCAUGCUAUUCAAAAGAGACUUAUCUAAGGGCCCAUGCACUUCAACCAAUGAAUGGCGAGUUAUUCUGGCCAAAGACACAAAAUGAUGAGAUACUUGUUCCAAUUCCAAAAAAAAAAAUUACUAGAAGACCAAAGAGAAAAUGAACGCGUGAGGCAAGUGGCAGUCCAUCUCGUCCUAAGAAAAACACAUCAACUACCGGUAACACUACCUCUACCUUAGCAAAGAAAAUAAUAUCAAAGAAGGGAAAAGUGAUACGUUGUUCUCUUUGUAAGACCCCGAGCCAUUAUAAACCACAAUGUCCUAAUAGGAAUCUUGGUCAAUCACAGGAGCCAGUCAUUCACCCUGGAUCAAACUCAAGCAAUCAAGCCUCUCAAGCAUCAAUGAACUAAUGAACUAACUUAGUUUAUUUUUGGUAGAUUUUGUUGUAUGAACUUAUAGUAAGGUCUUGGCAGAUUGUAUCUCUUUUUGGUGGAUUGUAUAUCUUCGCAGCUUGUAAUCUCUGUUGGUGGAUUGUAUAUUUUGCUGGUAUGUUUUGGC